UACGAAGGUGGCAAGCGUUGUCCGGAAUUACUGGGUGUAAAGGGCGUGUAGGCGGGAUAGCAAGUCAGAUGUGAAAUUACGGGGCUCAACCCCGGCGCUGCAUCUGAAACUGUUAUUCUUGAGUGUCGGAGAGGAAAGUGGAAUUCCCAGUGUAGCGGUGAAAAGCGUAGAGAUUGGGAGGAACACCAGUGGCGAAGGCGGCUUUUUGGACGAUAACUGACGCUGAGGCGCGAAAGCGUGGGGAGCAAACAGG
rnacentral:rRNA from 1 species